CUCAGGGCUCUUUGUCACGGGAGACAAGAGCCCCUGGCCCCUCACAUUUUAACCAAUUCGGUGUCUUUGUGUUUCAUUUUCAUCGAGCCUUGGUCCAGGUACAAGCCCAUGGGUUGGACCCCUACAACCAGCUCUUCCCCUUCUAGGUGUCUUCCCUAGAGUUAACGAUACCACAUGGCAGUGGCCAUGCACACCCUUGUUUAUAGAAGCACAGUUCCUAACAGCCAAAUCCUGGAGGCAGCCUACAUAUUGAUCAACGAUCAACAGGUGAAUGGAUAAAGAAAACAGGAUAUUUAUACACAAUGGAGUACUACUCUGCCAUAAAGAAGAAUAAACGAGUGGGGUGUUGGAACCCGGAAGUACCUUGAGACCACAAUGGUAAAUGAAAUCAAUCAGACACAGAAAUUUGCUAUUACAAACCCAAGAGUCAGGUCUUGGAACUCACACUGGUGUCAGCCGGGCUCGCCGUCCUGGGCUGGGUUCCCGCAGAUCCUGCUGUCAUU
rnacentral:lncRNA from 1 species